GUCAGUAACUGAUGUCAUCAUACUGACUUUGUGUGGGUAUAAAAACUGGCUGGUUUAAAAAGCAAACAUUUUAAUUCUGUGAGCAUCACAGAUUCUGGCACUGAAGUGAAGACAAGUCAACACAGGACAAAACAUCACCUUUCCACAAUGAUGACCAAGACCUGCAUCAUCCUUCUUCUGUUUGUGGGAACAGGGGUAAAAACCUCCACAGGAACAAAUACCACAGAAACAGGAGCAACAACCUCCACAGGAGCAAAUACCACAGAAACAGGAGCAACAACCUCCACAGGAGCAAAUACCACAGAAACAGGAGCAACAACCUCCACGGGAGCAAUACCACAGCAACAGGGGCAACAACCUCCACAGGAGCAAAUACCACAGAAGCAGGAGUAACAACCUCCACAGGAGCAAAUACCACAGCAACAGGGGCAACAACCUCCACAGGAGCAAAUACCACAGCAACAGGGGCAACAACCUCCACAGGAGCAAAUACCACAGCAACAGGGGCAACAACCUCCACAGGAGCAUAUACCACAGCAACAGGGGCAACAAUCUCACUAGCCAAUACAGUCAUUAAAAUAAGCUUAAUUUCUCUCACAGUGACCAUCAUAGCUGAUGCUCUUCUUUAAAGAGCAACGUGUGUUAUUGUUCAUGGGGUAUACAGAUUAUUCACAUUUCUUACUCAUUAUAUCAUUCCCAGUCUUAUUGUGUAUUUAUCUGUAUAUUUUUCAUGUUACAUCAAAGUAAGGAAUUGUCCACAAAGGCAAGGAAUGACAAAUAAAAGUGUGAUCUAUAUUUCCUCUCAUUAUUCAGCAACAGUGGCAAAUGUAUCUUAUAUUCUCAUAACUUCUGCAUAGGUGUAAAUUACCUUUUUUGCUGUGUACAUGCUCAAAAGGAUGCCCGAAUUAGAUGAACUAUACUGGAGAGGGACAUUCUUUAAAUGAAAUGUUCAAGAUAGAAGGGAAAUUGUUUUUUUUUUAAAUAGCAAAUUCUUGUAACUGUUGGAUGUUUUGUAAGA